rnacentral:rRNA from 1 species
UACAGAGGUCUCGAGCGUUGUUCGGAUUCAUUGGGCGUAAAGGGUGCGUAGGUGGCGCUGUAAGUCGGAUGUGAAAUCCUGAGGCUUAACCUCGGAACUGCAUUCGAUACUGCGGCGCUUGAGGACUGGAGAGGAGACUGGAAUUCAUGGUGUAGCAGUGAAAUGCGUAGAGAUCAUGAGGAAGACCAGUGGCGAAGGCGGGUCUCUGGACAGUUCCUGACACUGAGGCACGAAGGCCAGGGGAGCAAACGGG